UACGGAGGGUGCAAGCGUUAAUCGGAAUUACUGGGCGUAAAGUGUGCGCAGGCGGCCGAGCAAGUCGAGUGUGAAAGCCCCGAGCUUAACUUGGGAACUGCGCUCGAAACUACUUGGCUAGAGUGUGGCAGAGGGAGGUGGAAUUCCACGUGUAGCGGUGAAAUGCGUAGAGAUGUGGAGGAACACCGAUGGCGAAGGCAGCCUCCUGGGCCAACACUGACGCUCAUGCACGAAAGCGUGGGGAGCAAACAGG
rnacentral:rRNA from 1 species